rnacentral:rRNA from 1 species
GACGUAGGGCGCGAGCGUUUGUCCGGAUUUAUUGGGCGUAAAGAGCUCGUAGGCGGCUUGUCGCGUCGACCGUGAAAACUUGGGGCUCAACCCCAAGCCUGCGGUCGAUACGGGCAGGCUCGAGUUCGGUAGGGGGAGACUGGAAUUCCUGGUGUAGCGGUGAAAUGCGCAGAUAUCAGGAGGAACACCGAUGGCGAAGGCAGGUCUCUGGGCCGAUACUGACGCUGAGGAGCGAAAGCGUGGGGAGCGAACAGG